UCCUGUUUCAUUUCACUUUAUUUAUUUAUUUUUUUUUGGAGGUGGAGUCUUACUCUGUUGCCCAGGUUGGAGCGCAGUAGCAUAAUCAUAGCUCAAUGCAGCCUCAAAUUCCCGGGCUGAAGCAAUUUUCCAACCUUGGUCUCCAGAGUAGCUGGGACUACAGUGAACCAUCACACCUGGCUACUCAAUAGCUUUUGACUGAUAGAGGUGUGUGAUCAAACAGGUGGGAGGCCACAGUUCCAACAGAGGGAGUCAGUGCUGGAAAAUUAGAACAGGUGACUCCUGGUGAGGCAGAUUUCAGGUAAAAACCAGAGAAGGGAUUUUAAAACUCAAAUGAGAAAUCUCAGGAAUGCAAAAGAAGAUUCAACAAACAAAAGUUUGGCGAGGAAGUGGCAGCCCUCCCCUCACACUGCAACACAGACAGAUCCUGUGCUUACUUAUGAUGUCAUCACACUUAUCACAAUUUGUAAUACCCUGACCUCCUUCAGGGCAGGACCCUGAUUGUCUCUCCUGGAGGUCCCCCACGCCCUUCACCACUCCUGUCCAUGGGAAGCACAGGAAGUGGACAAAGAGGCCCUACCUGGAGGGAGCUGCAUUUGGCCUUGGUGGGGCCUGAGCUCUGGACCCAGAAUAUAAAGAAUCUUUAUCUUUCAGCCACCUCAUCCUGACAGUGACAGGAGAACUGCCAGUCAGGGGAGGCAAAAAGGGACAGAGUGAGAGAGAAGCGAGAAGGCAGAAUGCAAAGGGAGAGAUCUGGUGACAAUGUCCUGGCAUCCUGGCACUCCAACAUGCCACGGUCUUGUUAUACGAACAGAUGAACUCUUGCUCUGUUGCCCAGGCUGGAGUGCAUUGGCUCGAUCUCUGCUCACUGCAACCUCCGCCUCCAGGGUUCAAGUGAUUCUUCUGUCUCAGCCUCCUGAGUAUCUGGGACUGUAGGGAACUGCAUCUUGCAGCACAUCAGAAUCAUCUGGGAGCAGGAGAACCCUUCUGACCAUGAAAGCAAUUUAUUUCCCAGAACCAAUCCAGAAGAGGCCACUUCUACUGAUCCUGACCAAGUCAAGAGCUGGGCUUGUGGUGGGCUGAACUG
rnacentral:lncRNA from 1 species